rnacentral:rRNA from 1 species
CAGCAGCCGCCGCGGUAAUACGAAGGGGGCUAGCGUUGUUCGGAUUUACUGGGCGUAAAGGGCGCGUAGGCGGACUGAUAAGUCAGGGGUGAAAUCCCAAGGCUCAACCUUGGAACUGCCUUUGAUACUGUUUGUCUUGAGUUCGAGAGAGGUAAGUGGAACUGCGAGUGUAGAGGUGAAAUUCGUAGAUAUUCGCAAGAACACCAGUGGCGAAGGCGGCUUACUGGCUCGAAACUGACGCUGAGGCGCGAAAGCGUGGGGAGCAAACAGGAUUAGAUACCCCAGUAGUCCCUGUCUCUUAUAC